rnacentral:lncRNA from 1 species
AUCAGAACCAAGUGCACUAACAAGUCUUCAGAUAAAUCCAACUUGAGUGCCUUUAGUUUUGAAACAAUGUGAGACAUUUCCAUAAUGUACUCCCGAAUGUUUCCUUUCCCUUUAUACCUCAUUGAGACAAGAUUUUCCAAAAGUGUACUUGUUUCAGCAUUUUCAUUCUUGGCAAACCUCUUCUCAAGGUCCUCAAGGAAACCCUUAGCCGUAGUCACCUUAUCGGAUAUAGUGCCCCGGAAUGCUUCUGGAAUAGCACGCUUCAUGACCAUUAAGCUUAUGCGGUUCGAUCGUUCCCACUUUUCCAUCUCCCUCUUAUCAUCAGAGGUACUCUUAUCAGUAAGUGCAGCAGGUUGAUCGACCCGUAAAGCAAGGUCUAGGUCCAUGACUCCGAGAACAAUCAUAACGUUCUCUUGCCAUGCCCUGAAGUUUGUGCCAUUUAACAUUGGAAUUGAAUUGAUGCUAGCAGAGAUAUUAGCAGCAGAACCUGAAACUGAAUUAGAGAACAUUUAUUAUGAAUAGCUCACAUGAAUAUCUUUAAUAUGCA